rnacentral:rRNA from 1 species
UACGUAGGGUGCGAGCGUUAAUCGGAAUUACUGGGCGUAAAGCGUGCGCAGGCGGUUUUGUAAGCCAGAUGUGAAAGCCCCGGGCUUAACCUGGGAAUUGCAUGGGAAACUGGCAGGCUUGAGUGUGGCAGAGGAGGGUGGAAUUCCGCGUGUAGCAGUGAAAUGCGUAGAGAUGCGGAGGAACACCGAUGGCGAAGGCAGCCCUCUGGGCCAACACUGACGCUCAGGCACGAAAGCGUGGGGAGCAAACAGG